UACGUAGGGUGCAAGCGUUAAUCGGAAUUACUGGGCGUAAAGCGUGCGCAGGCGGCUUUGCAAGACAGAUGUGAAAUCCCCGGGCUCACCUGGGAACUGCAUUUGUGACUGCACGGCUGGAGUGCGGCAGAGGGGGAUGGAAUUCCGCGUGUAGCAGUGAAAUGCGUAGAUAUGCGGAGGAACACCGAUGGCGAAGGCAAUCCCCUGGGCCUGCACUGACGCUCAUGCACGAAAGCGUGGGGAGCAAACGGG
rnacentral:rRNA from 1 species